GCUCAGGACGAACGCUGGCGGCGUKCCUAAUACAUGCAAGUCGAACGCUUCUUUUYCCACCGGAGCUUGCUCCACCGGAAAAAGAGGAGUGGCGAACGGGUGAGUAACACGUGGGUAACCUGCCCAUCAGAAGGGGAUAACACUUGGAAACAGGUGCUAAUACCGUAUAACAAUCGAAACCGCAUGGUUUUGAUUUGAAAGGCGCUUUCGGGUGUCGCUGAUGGAUGGACCCGCGGUGCAUUAGCUAGUUGGKGAGGUAACGGCUCACCAACMGACGAUGCAUAKCCGACCUGAGAGGGUGAUCGGCCACAUUGGGACUGAGACACGGCCCAAACUCCUACGGGAGGCAGCAGUAGGGAAUCUUCGGCAAUGGACGAAAGUCUGACCGAGCAACGCCGCGUGAGUGAAGAAGGUUUUCGGAUCGUAAAACUCUGUUGUUAGAGAAGAACAAGGAUGAGAGUAACUGUUCAUCCCUUGACGGUAUCUAACCAGAAAGCCACGGCUAACUACGUGCCAGCAGCCGCGGUAAUACGUAGGUGGCAAGCGUUGUCCGGAUUUAUUGGGCGUAAAGCGAGCGCAGGCGGUUUCUUAAGUCUGAUGUGAAAGCCCCCGGCUCAACCGGGGAGGGUCAUUGGAAACUGGGAGACUUGAGUGCAGAAGAGGAGAGUGGAAUUCCAUGUGUAGCGGUGAAAUGCGUAGAUAUAUGGAGGAACACCAGUGGCGAAGGCGGCUCUCUGGUCUGUAACUGACGCUGAGGCUCGAAAGCGUGGGGAGCAAACAGGAUUAGAUACCCUGGUAGUCCACGCCGUAAACGAUGAGUGCUAAGUGUUGGAGGGUUUCCGCCCUUCAGUGCUGCAGCUAA
rnacentral:rRNA from 1 species